CAACGAUGAGGAUCCACGAGGGGUGCGGUUUUUACACCCGUGGCGGCCGCACCGGACCGGGCAAAGUGAGGCGAGGCUGCGGGGCGGCGGUGCGUGUCCAGCCGGCCACUGUGGAGCAGCGCGCGGUUGAGAGAUGGUUUACUUAUUGCAGGUGCAUCUGAAACACAUCACCAGCGAUAACUGGGGGUUCACAGUGGCUCCAAACCAGCUCAGCGAGAAAGGCUCAAGUGCACCCUCUGCUGUGAAGGAGGAUGAUGAGAAGAUUGUGUCUCACCUGAAGAAGCAAAGGACAGCACUCCCGGUGGUGAGGAAGAUGAGGGACAGGCUGUGGCCCAGUGUGUACAACGUCUGCACUAGCACGUAGAACACCAGCUGAACACCCACACAACACACAAACACUAAAAAGGGGUGUGAAGAACAUUGCUAAAUAUGAUGCUAAAAGCAAUUACUGUAUGCUAAUAGUGGUGGUUAUGCCAAGAGUGGUUCUAGCCACGUUGCUAACAAUGACGCUAACAAUAAGUGCUAAAAUGGCAACAGUGGGGCUAACAACUAUGCUACGCUAACUAAGCUAAGUAGCUACAAACUCUUGGUCACAAUGUUUGUAUCAGCCGAAAACAUUUUCAGGUGAUGCGCUGGUUGACCUUUGGAUGCUACGUUAGCUUAGCAUCGUGAUUGGGUUUGUGGAUCGAAACUUGUGUCGCUCUCCCUUGUGUCUGAGUGUCACAAUGUAGUAAUUUAUCCAGUUAAGUGAACAAACACAAGGGUGAAUUCACGACACAUCGACGACCCCAACUGAACUGAAUUGAACCCAGAACCGUGGCAGGGAGCUGCAAUUAGCGGAGAAGUACUGCCAAAAAACAACAACACGACGAUGCCACCUUUUGAGCAAAUUUUUGUUAAUGCAUUACUGUUGUUAUUAUUAUUAUUAAAACUAAUCUUAACCUCUAACUCUACUGCCCACUCUAACCAUAACCCAUAAUGCUAGCUUUAACUCUAAAGUAGCCCUAAACCCUAACUGUUAGAUAUUAUUUUUGUACUAGGGUCCAACUGAUAAGGAUUUUUUUUAGGCUGAUACAGAUUUCAAUAUUAGGCAGAAUAUAUGCAGAUAACCGUUUAGUCGGCCGAUUAAUAAAAAAUAUAUAUAAUGAAUAAAAUAAGGUUAUUUUUUUUGGUCCUUUAACACUUACAACAACAAAAAUAUGAAUUACAUGCAGAACAUUUUACUGUUUCAAAAUACUUUGUCCUUUAGUUUUUGUUUAACUUUACAACAGAGAGGAAUUUUCAAGUACAAAACAUGCAAAAAAAGCAUUAACUGAUAAAUGUAUUUCUCGAUUUAGGCCAUAAAGGAAUUGCAGUAGAGAAGCAAACUAAUGAGUAAAGUUACUGGCAAAAAAUUAUUUAUGGAUGAUUUCCUUUAAUUUUCAAUCACAUUUGUUCUAUUCCAUUAUUUUCUUUGCCAUGAAGUGAUGACUUCAAAAUAAAAACCAGAGAUGCCUUUCUCAGAUGUUAAAACAUUUUAUGUUCGUGCAUUGUGGCUGUUUUUGUUUUACUCUUUAUUUCUUGUAUUUUGUUUAAUGUGGCUGUCAAUAUCUCUAUCUUAUGUUGUAAUGUGUAAAUAUGUAAAAAAAAAAAAAAAAAGGCAAAAAUCACCUGAUUUUUUUUUUGCAUCAGUCCUAAACAUAUUGUACAUCAAUUGUCUCAAAUGUUUCAAGCAAGCACCCACACACUUCCUUUCUGAAAGGUUAUCACCUGUAUGAGUGAGCUAUUUUAUAAAAGCAAUUCAAGUCUGAGCCAAAUGGUCUUGAGAUGGAAACUGGAAAUUCUCCUCAUUUUGUAUCAACACGGGCAGGUAGAAAAAGAAGUUAAAAAGGUUCAGAAAUUUUGAGAGGACAGAUCACUCAGUGAGGAGAGAGACAAUUGUCAACUCGACUUACCGAGUGACCUCUGACGCUGUAUCAUUUGCUGUGUUACUCUGUUAACUUGCUUAAAGGGUCCCCUUCCAUCAAAAUCCAUUUCUUUCAACUGUUUUUUUGCAUAACAUACAGUAGGUCAAAAUGAGUCUUUGACCUGGUUUAAGUUUGACAUCUAUGUGGUUUGUCGAAUGAAUGCAAUAGAUGAUAAAGGACAUUAGGCUUGUAAAAUGGCCGGAUAAGAUUUCUGUGUAUUUGUGACGUAGAAAGUUAUUAAUUAUUCAAAUAUCUGGCCACUUCUUGGUUGCUACACGACUUAUCUCCCGCCAUGAGUUUAUCAACAAAAGAACCAGGAAAACAACAAUAAGAGCAACACUAAAUCUUAUGCUAAUUCCUAACCCGAGCCACUAAACCUAACACCUAAGUCCUAACCUCUAAAUGUAAACCACAACCCUAAAGCCAUAAUCCUAACCGUAAAUAUACUGAACAAAAAUAUAAUGCAACACUUUUGUUUUGGCUUCCAUUCACGAACUUAAAGAUCUCAGACAAUUUCUUUACGCAAACAAAAGGCCAAUUUCUUGCAAAUGUUGUUCACAAAUCAAUCUAAAUCUGGUAGUGAUCACUUCUCCCUGUCAUAUCUUGUAUUGUUUGCUUGUUUCCUGUGUGGAAUCUUUGUGUUGCAGUCCCUGGGUGCUGGUCGGUGGGCGGAGUCUCCCGCAAUGCAGCUGCUGGUGAUUUGUCAUCAGCAGUGCAUUUAAGCAUGGGAGACGCAGGAGAAAAACUCUUGAGAAUUUGUAUUUUGCUUGUUGCCAUUGACUUGUCAGCUUUGUUACAUUCUCGCACAUUCCCACAUUCAUUCUGUCCUGCCAGUAGCUAUUUUCAACGGCUGUUUUUCUGUUCCAGUUUCUCUUCCUUGUGUAGGUUAGUGUUUGUUCCCAUAGUUACUUUUAGUAUUUUCCUCCUGUGGCUUCCUGUCCACCGUCCUUAUUUAAGUACCUGUCUGCUAGAUGGUUUUCGCGUUGACUUUCUGUCAUGUCACUUUCUGUUAAUAGUUAUUUUUUUCACAUGAGCGUGCUCCCUUUGUUGAAUAAAGUCUGUAAACGCUCAUCUUUUGUUGUUUUGCUUUGGGGUCCAAAUGUAUUGUGUCUGACGCAGCCAUAACAGAAUUUCUCGGCCAUUAUGGACCUCACAACCGCUGAGCAUAUGUCUAGCCAAAGGGAAUUGGUUAGCAAACAUGAUCGCUCACUCAGCUAUCAAUGCGCACAC